rnacentral:ncRNA from 1 species
UGAAAGGUUUGGUCCUGGCCUCAGUAUUAAUUGUAACUAGAAUUAUACAUGCAAGUUUCAGCAUCCCCGUGAGAAUGUCCUCAUUAGUCUAUUAACUCAUCAGGAACUGGUAUCAGGCACACAUGUGUAGCCCAAGACACCUUGCUUAGCCACACCCCUAAGGGAUUUCAGCAGUAAUAAACAUUGACUUAUGAGCGCAAGCUUGAAUCAGUUAAAGUUUACUGGGUUGGUAAAUCUCGUGCCAGCCACCGCGGUUAUACGAGUAACCCAAAUUAAUAUUUACCCGGCGUAAAGGGUGGUUACAGGAAAAAUCUAUAAAUAACUAAAGUUAAGACUCCAUCAAGCUGUUAUACGCACCCAUGAUUGGAAACAUCAACAACGAAAGUGACUUUAUUAACACUAGAAACCUUGAUCCCACGACGGUUGGGCCCCAAACUAGGAUUAGAUACCCUACUAUGCCCAUCUACAAACUUAGACAAUAAUCUACCAUAUUGUCCGCCAGAGUACUACAAGCGCUAGCUUAAAACCCAAAGGACUUGGCGGUGCUUCAGACCCCCCUAGAGGAGCCUGUUCUAUAACCGAUAAUCCCCGUUAAACCUCACCACUUCUUGCCAGUACCGCCUAUAUACCGCCGUCGUCAGCUAACCUUGUGAAAGAUAAAAAGUAAGCAAAAAGAAUUAAAUUCCAAACGUCAGGUCGAGGUGUAGCGAAUGGAGUGGAAAGAAAUGGGCUACAUUUUCUAUCAAGAAAACACGGACAGUAAAUUGAAAAAACUACUUCAAGGUGGAUUUAACAGUAAGGGAAAAUUAGAGUAUUUCCCUGAAGCCGGCUCUGAAGCGCGCACACACCGCCCGUCACUCUCCUCAAUAAAUCUAUAUCUUUUUAUAAAAAAAUAAUCCAAUCAAGAGGAGGCAAGUCGUAACAUGGUAAGUGCACUGGAAAGUGCACUUGGUAU